rnacentral:lncRNA from 1 species
UUAGAUAUUGCUAAACUGAAAAAACAAGUUUUUGAGGCAUCUCAGGCUCAUCUCACCCUAUUGCCUGGAGCUGAUAUUCUUGCUGGAGCCUCUGAUGGCCUUUCUAAUACCAAUCCUUUAAAGUGGAUUGAAACCAUAGGUGGAUCAACAAUUGCAAAUUUUAUUUUGGUUUGUGUCUGUUUAUGUUGCUUGUUUUUAGUCUACAGAUGCAGAUGGUGCCUUGGGAGAGAAACCAGACACCAUGAAUGAGCCAUAAUAGCAAUGGCAGUUAUUAAUAAAAAAAAAUCAAUAGAGGCAAAAAAGGGGAACAUGUGGGAAAGUGUUUCUGGGGUGCCAGUUGAGUUGGUCUCCCCUGUGUGAGACACCCAUGGGAAGCCAUGGGCAGCCUCUGGGGAGAAAAGUCUCCUUAUUGCUUUCAUGUCUUUAUGCCCCAAGAGCAUAACCACUCAGCAGCAUUCCACAGGUUGCUCAGGGAGACAACACUCCCUUGAAGCAGUGGAGUAUAAUCAAACAUCUUGGCUCCUCCUUAAACCCGCUCCCACCCAUUUCAGUCCUGAUAAGCUAAAGAUCUUAAGUAGUUUAGACACACGCCUUUGCUCAAGGAAAUUCACAGAAACCGCCACUGCUACACAUCUUAUGGAAUGACUCACGAGUUCUCCUUCACUGAUUAAUCCUUUUCCUCAUCCCUUCCUCCCCCUCCCAUCUGCCCUAAGAACAAAGAGCUUGUAAACCAGUAAAUUUGGCAGAGCUCAAGAGCUCUGGGCCGUGAGCAAGCCUCCGAUAUUCUGGUCCCCUGAACCCGCCUUUUAAAUGCUUAUUCUGUCUCUUUCUAACUCCUAUGUCUCCACCAGACUCAGGGUACCCACUGGGUGGUGUGGGGCUGGUUUCCCUAACAUUCCCCACCAAAUAAAGCAGCUCCAACCUUCUAGAUGGUUGCUCAGCUCAGAAGUCUUAGAGAAAUUCUGAUGCCUCUCCUCACAUUUGCUCUGUCGGCAAAUCCUGGUGUCACAAGAGGGCUCAGGAGGGUUUCUGGAUGCCAACGAGACCCCAGCCACAGCCGGUCCCCAGAUUCUUGACAUCAUCACAAGAAAGAAUUCACAGGGUUGCUUCAGCGUCCUCACAACAGGAUGGCUGACUUCCCCAAGAGAGCAGCUCAAGAGAGAGCAAGGAGAAAGACACAACAUCUUUAAUGAUCUAUGCUUGGAAGCUAUAUGUUGCCACUUUUGCAAUAUCCUACAGAUCGCUUAGCUCCAUCCAACAUGGAAAGGGAUCAGACACGGGCAUCAUUGCCAGAUGAUAAUCCCUGAUGGUCAUCUUGGAUGCUGGCCACCACAGUUACAUUUGAGAUGGUGCACAAGAAGGCUCUCGCCAGAUGCUGGUCUUGUGAUCUUGGACUUCCCAGCCUCCAGAACUAGAAGCUGGCAUCGCUUGGGGGAAGAUGUACACUGCAAACUGUCUACAGAGCUAGUUACAAUAUUUCAUCUACGUCAUGAGCUUUGGGGAUGAGCUAGAGAUGAAACUCCCCAAGGCCAGAGAAGAUGGCAGAGCCAUGAGAUGGAAGGCGCCUGGGCCGCUGAAUCACCACAUGGAAGGUCACUCAUGACAGGAUCCUCGAAGGACCAUGGUGCAAGAAAGAAGUAAGAUUCUGGUCCAGGCUCGGUGGCUCAUGCCUGUAAUCCCAGCACUUUGGGAGGCUGAGAUGGGAAAAUUGCCUGAGGCCAGGAG